UAGAAAGUUCUUGGGCUGUGAGCUUAGAAUCCCUGAGGACCAUUGCAGGCUGUUUCUAAGGGUUGUGGACAGAGGUUAUUGAGAUGGUGAUCCACUGUGAACAGGGAGAUUUGACCCCUUGCCCAGGAUGGCUCCCCAAGCCCAUCUCCUGAUGUCGACUUAGUCCUCCUGGAGGAUUUCUGUCACAGUCUCCUGUUCUCACACGAGAACAAUGUGUCCCCUUGGUAGUAGUGGCCAUUGGGUACCCAUAUCUGACUCAAAACCUGCUUAACACGGUGAAUCUCUCUGAAUUUGUUUGCAGAAAAUCAAUACCACGAUGUGGAGGUACAAGGACAAAAUGUCACAUACACAUCCAGCAGGGAGCUCCCAGAGGAGCAAGAGCGGGAAGACCCAGAUGACCCGCUGGACGAGUGCUACCUCACUCCCUCGAUUUCUCCAGUCGUUUCUGAGCUUGACCAUUCCACGUGGAGCAGCUGGUGCUCCCUGGAGCAUCAGGACGUGCUGUCUGCUCCAGAUGCAGACGAAAAGGAAAAUGACAAUGAUGAAGUGCAAGAGGAAGCACAAGCCCUGUCACACUGCAGUCUCAUCAGGGAGAUCUCAGAGAUUGAAGAUCAAGAUGUCUCACAAGACUCUCACGAAAAUCAAUACCACGAAGUGGAGGUACAAGAGCAAAAUGCCACAUACACUUCCAGGUAACUCGGAGACAGAGCAGACAGUGUGGCAUGGACUACUAGGGAAUUAGUAGCCAGUCUUCCCCAGAUAGGGACAAAGUUGUGGGUGGUGCAUUGCUCAGCCCAGCCACUUCUGGAAGCCUCCUCUUAGGAACAGCUUGGAAAGGGGCUUUCUGUUCCCUUUCUGUUUCUCACCCACCUUUCCCUCCCUCCAGUCUCAUCAGGGAGAUCCCAGAGAUUGAAGAUCAAGAUGUCUCACAAGACUCUCACGGUACGUGUUUGACUCCUGCACUUCUUCUGGAAGCUUCUGACUGGUCCCAUUCUAGGAGCACCUGGUCCUCACUGGAGAAACAGCCUGUCUGCUCUGUUCUUGUUGUAGACAGUGAGUGCUCCAUUGUGAACGGGAACACUCCACUGGUCUGCCAGGUGGCCUCUGUAUUCUUGGGUUGCUGCACCUGUGUUGGGUGAGACAGACCACUGUGCACUCAGGCCCUGGGGACUUAUCUCGGUCUGGAUGUGGCUUUUGGUUGGAGCUUGUUCAUAGUCAUCAAAUGGAGGAAACCUUGGGUGCUCCAGAUAGAAUUCCAGCUCAGGAGUCCCCCAUGGCCUGAAGUUCCUGGUCUCUCACCUCGGGCUUUUUGCACUCAGGGUCUCAAUGAGGCCUUGCACUUGGCUUUGCCACAGACCAGUGGUUGUGUGGCUUUGUCUCAGAAACACCCAGUGCAGGGCUGGGCAGUCAUGGGGAGGAAGGCAAGUGCACAGACACUGUCUCAGGAGGGAGAUGUGUGUGCUAGGCCAAAGGAAUGCCUUCCCUCCCACCUGGGAUUUCCUCCUGACUUUUGUGCUUCACCUUAGCUUGUCUCUCCAUUCUUCAGGUGCCUGUAACUAGGUUCCCACUUCACCUGACCAGAAAAGUGAUGGUCACAUCAUAUGUAUUAAUGUCUAUAUGACAUGCACUGGGGGCAUGUAUCCUAUGCAUCGAUGUGCUUGGUGUAUGUUCAGCAAAGCAUGUGCAAGUAUGAAUGCAUGUGUUCUUGUGCUAGUGUUGUUCAUUCCAGCUGUCAGUGUUCCCCUGUCCUUGUCUCUCAUGACAAUGCCCUCCAGGUUUGGUGAUCCUGCUCCAUCCCCCCAAACCUUCAGCAGAGAGCCUGUGUGGUUCUGUGCCUUAAAAGCUUCAGAGCUGUGUGUUUUAUUAGUUCUACUUUGUUGACUAUUGUGAUCAUCUGAGCCAUGUUUAUUGCUUUUGCCUAGUGAUAAAUUAUCAGUGAACAUGUAUAAAAUCAACCUGACUGAAAACAUAUUAGUGUCUGUGCAGAUGUCAUCUCCCACACUUCGGACAUGACUGUCCAGGGCCCCUUGCCUUACUUGUUGUCCCUCUGCUGCAGGCCUGACUGCCAGAGAGAGAGCAUGAAUACCAAUCCUGACGGCUGUGGUUCUAUUUCAGAACUGAGUUUUGCUGCUGCCCCUGAGAGGAAGACCCGUUCCCCGCUGGAGGGAGGUCCUCACAAAGAUGCCAUCACCAGCAUGUGUGGGAGUCAUAGCAUCAGCCCCAGUGAUGUCCCAAGUUCCCCAAAAGAAAAUGUGAUCAAAGGAAAAUGGAAGCCCAGGAAAUGGGAACUGGCCUGCAGGUUCCCUGGCCUGGAGAUGAAGGGCAAACCACAGCCCACAGUUAGUAAAAUUGCGUGCUGAUUCCCUGGCCAGAAGACUGAAGGGGAAACCACAGCCCAUGGAGUGCCACCUCGCAUGGAGACUCCCUGGCCGGGAGAUGAAGGGAAAACCACAGACCAACACGUGGGCAAUGGCAUUCAGAUUCCUGGGCCUUCACGCCUAGACAGAGAUCCCAAAUACAGUUGGAAGUACAGAACAGUAUUGCUGAUCGUAACACCCCCACCUCUUCCAAACAUCUACCACAGGAGCUCCGCUUCAACAGCAACCAGAACACCAAGAAUGCAGUUUCACCACCAUGAACUGCCCUUGGCUAUUUUUAUCCACUAGGCUGCUUCCCUGAGAGCUGGCACAGUCUUCCACCUCCAAUCUGAGUGAACACCGAAGGAGACCCAAGCCUGACUCCACAGCUGCUCUAGAGAGAACACCACCUGGCUCCUCUCCAACUGCCUCCUGCAGAGAUCUGAGGUCAGGAGGAGCUGGAAGCAAGCAGCACAGGACCCUGGGCACACACUGCCUUUGGAUGGGGCAAGCUCGGUGUGGGCAGUGUCAGAGACACAGUGCUCCUGCGCACAAGGCUACAUGUGAGCAGAGGAGAGGAUCGGACUCCGAGGACGUGGAGCCUGACCCAGACAGCUGGCCUGCCUCCUUCACACAGCCAGCGUUCCGCAUAGAGGACAGCAGGAGGAAGAGACUUUGGGGCUCCAAAGGACAGGAAGGGUCUCUUUCCUCCUUUUGAACCCCAACCAUCUCCCCCUUCUGCUGUCUUCCCUGAUGGGAACGCUGACUGUGUGAAGGCGCAGGCCAGGUGUCUGGCUCAGGUUCUGCAUCCUGAGAUCUCUGGUGCUUUCCUCAAUUUUACACUCAGCCUCACUCUUUGGCCAAGCACCCGAUGCAGGAGAUGCUGUGUGCUCCCUCCCACAUCCCCGCAGGAGGCAGAGAACAUCUUGUGUGCCCAUCAGGUCCAUUGACCCUGGCAUCGGUCAGUUGGUGAAAGCUGUCUGUUGAUCUGUACAUCCUAAAGAUGGGCUCCUUCCACAUGUUCCUAACAACUGUGGAGAGGGUGACCCCUCAGAGCCUGAGCAAAAAGGGAGUGAGCAGCGGCCCUUGUGGAGGUCUGGUCAUCAACCCAGGAGGUGGCCAUGGAUGGGCGUGAUAACAGCAAGUUCAUGGUGAUGAAUGCAGCAGUGUGGCCGGGAGAGGCCAGGUGGGCAAGGUGGACUGAGCCUUCAUCAGGAACCAGACACCUCUCUGAACACUCCUCUCUCCACACCCAGAGUCAGGCAGGGCAGAUGCGGGCAGGACCUCAGCACGAGGACGCUCGUCUCUUAGAGCUGCUGGUCCUGCCAACUCCACUCAGUGUUGCAGGAGAACUGGGGGCUCCUGCUGCAGGACAUGGGCCAAGGUGUCCAGAGCCCCAGGAAACAGCAAGGCCGUGUUCCUGCUGGCCUGAGGCAGCUGCAGGAUGAGCAGGGGCCAUAUGCCUGCCCCCAACCCUGUCAUGGAAAACCGGGUCCUCACAGAUUCUGGAUGCCCGCUGCUUAGUAGGUGUUCCUGGUCGAAGAACAUACCGAGCCAAUGGCACCGCUGCCCUGGGGUGGACCUGUUUCUCACAGCUACCAUUCCUACUUCCACUGUCUGUCAUGCCUAUGAUAAAGACAAUUGUUUUCCUUUCAUGCAAAUUGGGAUCCUAGGGAGGGAAUUAUGUUUCCACCUGAGUGUGCCUCCUCUCAGUGUAACAGCUGCCUUAGACAUCCUGUCAGCACAUCGUGGGCAUCCUAAAAUCUACACCUUGUCAUUAAGAUAUCGCUGUCCAGGCCCACAAGUGCCUCCAGUGUCCUGGAGUGUAAGUGGAAUCUUAAAAAUUUUGAUUCAGAUCCCAAUAUGUGUUCUCUGUUUUAGUUAAGUGUUUUUAAAAAGAAAAAUUCCAAAAAAAAUUAAAAAUUUAAAAAGUAAAAAAAAUUUUAAAGUAAAAAUAGAAAAGAAAAA